GAAUUUCUGACCUUUACAGAGCCUGUUGUACCUGCCACACGCCAUUUGUAGGACCCCGUAGCCCGAUACACGGGUGCCCGCCGAUUUUUAACCCUUGCCUGUCCAUCACGUGACAGACGAGGACAUGCUGACCAGAGGGGCAGAGCCCGUGGAGUCGGUGCCGAGCAUGUCCUGGACCGAGGGAGGAGUCACUAAGACCCAGUCCUCCCUGUGACGGCCCUCCUUGGAGGUGGCAUUGGGGACCUGGCAGUUCUUAACGGCACCCUGGGGCUGAUGGCGAGUGAAGACUUGGGAGGCGUUGUCAGGGCCCCACAGAGCUCUCUGCGCCCCACGCCGCCCCGAGGGCAGAAGCACUCGGCUGCGUCCUCAGAUGCGCAGUGACCUGGGGUAGCUCAGGUGCGCCAGAUCAAGGGGCUUGUCCACGGUUUGUUUUGGGGCCUCUGGUCCCCCGCUUGUCCCCCCACAGGCAUGGGCAGCUCACUGCCUGCUCCUUAGCCCCGUGAGAGCCGGGGUCGUGGCUGGCAGGCGGGGCUGGGAGUGAGGACGUGGACUCGGCCGGAGACACGGUUGCGGGAGCUGGGACUGGCCACAGCACCCAGGCCCUGUUGCAGGGACAGCACGUCAUUAGGUUUUUCCAGAGAAGCCUGAAACCCGGAGUCUGUUGGCAAACGGUUGACCCACCUUGCUGCGUCGGCCCCCGUGCCGCUUCCCUGUGUGGAGCUGGUCCCCAAAAAUCCUGCUGUGCUGGCAACGCUUCCUUCUGUGACCCGGCCUCAGUAUGCAGUCUGCGCCCUCAUCCGGCCCCGUACUGCCUAGGUCGGCCCUUCCCCGGAAUGCAGCCCUUCUCUUUCUGCCUCUGACUCGCUGGCAGUCCCCGUGCGUCGGAUGAACACGCACUCGGACCUCAGCCCGGUGGAGAGCAGGGUGCUGAAGAGGGGCCCCUGGGGUGCCCAGAGCCUGUGGCUGUGACCUUAUCUGGUCACAGGUGCAGUUAGGAAAGGAUCU
rnacentral:lncRNA from 1 species